GGCUUUGUAGUGGAGAAUAAGACGUCAGACUGCAAUUCUGAAGAUGCGUUUAACGCCGGAGCUU
rnacentral:tRNA from 1 species